ACGAAAUCAAACGGAUUUGAAAUCUUACACGUUUUGUCCGAAAAUACCACACACGUAUAUCUUCUCUUCUUAUCGUCGCCCAUCGUCAAUCUUAUUUUUAGUUUAGGUCUUUUAGCAAAAAUACCAGAAACGCAGAGAGGCGAUCUAGAGAUUCAUAGGAAAAAAAACUCGGGUAUCUUCUAUAUUAGCUCGAGAUGAACGCUUAUUGCUUAGAUGUGAUGAUUAUGAAGAGUUAAUAAAAGAAGAUUAGAGGCGAAUUUGCUGGUUCAGAGAUUUUAAGAAGAAAAAAGGAGCAAUUGAAGUUAAAUAAGUAAAUCGGAGCUAUAAACAGUACAAACAAAAAAAUGAAGGUCGUAUGCUGGUGCUUCUAUGACUUCAUAUCCUCCUCGAGAUGGGAAAGGAACUUAUACUGCUGUCUUUUGGAGGAUUUUCAACAUAGGUGGUGCUGCUGUUAUUGAUGGGUGAUAUAGAAGAGGCUCCACUUAGGUUGCCAUGGGUGAUCAUCUAUCCCUUGUCACUGAAAUGACUAAGCAUGUCAGGUUAGAGCCUCUGGAGGAAUGAUCUUCAUCCCUCUACAAAAACAACUACUAUCAAGAACAGGGAGCAUGUAUGUUAUUCUGGAUUGCAGAGGUCAGUGUUUCCAAUUUUGCGUGAUGCCUUGUACUGCAAUUUGAUAUAGAAUUAUCUUGGAGGUGUAGUAUUUGUUUUACCAAAAAUAGUCAAUUACAUGUAAUCCCAGUCUAAUAUCUUAUCCUAAUUCAGUUGUUUGUUAUACUGUUAUAAUAGGAUUUUUAAUUUGAUUAAUAAUGUUUGUUACAAUUA